CAUUAACGAGAACCUGCCCUAUGGGUAGAAUCUCCCACCCGUGUUUACUGUACCUUUGUUGCUUUGGCAGGCCCGUCUCCAGACCGCCGGCCCAGGCUGGCCAGUGCCUGCCAGAGGAUCUAAACUCGCUAUUUACAUGUUGUCCGAGCAGUCUAUAUAAUAGUUAAAACUUUCAACAACGGAUCUCUUGGUUCUGGCAUCGAUGAAGAACGCAGCGAAAUGCGAUAAGUAAUGUGAAUUGCAGAAUUCAGUGAAUCAUCGAAUCUUUGAACGCACAUUGCGCCCUUUGGUAUUCCUUAGGGCAUGCCUGUUCGAGCGUCACUAAAAACCGUCUCACAGCUCUUGUGGUAUUGGUAGAAGUGGGUCGAACUAACAGUACGCUUUCCUACUCUACUGAAAUAAAUAGGCCAGAGAAGUGGAUCAUGGUAACAGACUCUAAGAGUGUUUUCAAAUGCUAAACUAGUCUUACCCAGGUCAUGUUCUGAGCCACUGGACCCCCAUUCAGUACAAAACAGAGAGGUUGACCUCGGAUCAGGUAGGGAUACCC
rnacentral:rRNA from 1 species